GAGGGGCCCGCACAAGCGGUGGAGUAUGUGGUUUAAUUCGAUGCAACGCGAAGAACCUUACCUGGUCUUGACAUCCCGGAGACCCUUAGGAAACUAGGGGGUGCUUCCAUCUGGAAGAAUCUGGAGACAGGUGCUGCAUGGCUGUCGUCAGCUCGUGUCGUGAGAUGUUGGGUUAAGUCCCGCAACGAGCGCAACCCUUGCCUUUAGUUGCCAGCAGUUCGGCUGGGCACUCUAAAGGGACUGCCGGUGUUAAACCGGAGGAAGGUGGGGAUGACGUCAAGUCCUCAUGGCCUUUAUGACCAGGGCUACACACGUACUACAAUGGCCGAUACAAAGGGCAGCGACACUGCGAGGUGAAGCCAAUCCCGUAAAAUCGGUCUCAGUCCGGAUUGGAGUCUGCAACUCGACUCCAUGAAGUUGGAAUCGCUAGUAAUCGUGGAUCAGCAUGCCACGGUGAAUACGUUCCCGGGCCUU
rnacentral:rRNA from 1 species